GUGCAGGUUUUUUUUUUUUUCUUUUUUGGCAAUUUUCUAGUUGGUAAUAAACAUUUAAACAGUUAUCCAUUGUAUCUGAUGUUGUAGGGUACUCAAAAAUUAAAAUAUAACACGGAAAAGUGGGUGAAAUGUUAGCUUUUAGCUAAAGCUAAGCGAGGAUUCUUAUUUCUCCCACAAUGCAUUCCAUGACGUCACAUGAGGCACUCGCUGACUGUUGGACGACAGACAGCCCCGCGGCCCGCCUACCAUUUUGAGGGAGAGUGAUACGAGGAGUUUAAGUUAGCUAGCUAGUGAAGCAGUGACACUGACAGUGACAGAUUUAUAAGUAAAUAUAGAUAGAUAGAUCUUCCGAAGCUGGGUGCAGUUUGUCAAGAUUAGGCGAGCAGAUUUUUCAGCUAAGUUAACGUUAGCUCUGUCGCCGCCUACUCGAGAAUAUGCAGCGCGCAUUUCAAAGAGGAGGAUAACCACUCAGGGGAUGCCAAGAUGGUCUUACUUCACUUGGAUUAAAGAGUGAGAGGAGUGCUAAAUUACUUCCAACCGCACUGCCGUCUGUGAACGCAAACCUCUCUGCUUGCCCUGUCCCGAGGUCGAGAGACACCGUCUACCGCAAGCGAGAAAUUGCCACGGUUAUGCAACAUCAUUAAUGAAGGCCCUUCGGGAAAGCUACACCAAUUCACCUGCGGCUCUUCGAGAGGUUAGCGCCAGUUUGUCCCCAUCGCCACAUCCUUCAAACAGGUUCCUGAGGAGGCCGUCAGCCUCUACCUAGCCCGGCAGUCACGCUUCAAGAACCUAAUUUCACAUUAUUUUCUUUCCACAGACAAGUCCAAUGGUUUAGUUGUAUUUAUUUAUUUUAGUUGUUAGUUAUCUUCUUUCCUUCUGUCCCUGUCAUCUCAUUUAGUGGUGGUUUCCUGCAUUCUGCAUGUUUUGUUUUUUUCUUUGUGUGCUGUUUCUUUGGUUUUACUUUGCACAAAAUCAUUACUUUUUUUUCUUAGGCUAUUGAUUCCCGUGAUCUUGUUUAUAAAUUCCGAUUCAGCCAUUAGCCUACCUUCGUAAUCACGCAAAGCGGUCUGGAGAGGCGAUCUGUUCAGAAUUA